rnacentral:rRNA from 1 species
CCUACGGGGUGCAGCAGUGAGGAAUAUUGGUCAAUGGCCGAGAGGCUGAACCAGCCAAGUCGCGUGAGGGAAGACGGCCCUACGGGUUGUAAACCUCUUUUGUCGGGGAGCAAAGCGAGUCACGUGUGACUCAUUGAGAGUACCCGAAGAAACAGCAUCGGCUAACUCCGUGCCAGCCGCCGCGGUAAUACGGAGGAUGCGAGCGUUAUCCGGAUUUAUUGGGUUUAAAGGGUGCGCAGGCGGCGGUGCAAGUCAGCGGUCAAAUUGCGGGGCUCAACCCCGUACUGCCGUUGAAACUGCAUGCCUUGAGUGCGCGAGAAGUAUGCGGAAUGCGUGGUGUAGCGGUGAAAUGCAUAGAUAUCACGCAGAACACCGAGUGCGAAGGCAGCUUACCAAUCUAUAUCUGACGUUGAGGCACGAAAGCGUGGGGAGCAAACAGGAUUAGAUACCCUAGUAGUC